rnacentral:rRNA from 1 species
CCUACGGGAGGCAGCAGUGGGGAAUAUUGGGCAAUGGGCGCAAGCCUGACCCAGCAACGCCGCGUGAAGGAAGAAGGCUCUCGGGUUGUAAACUUCUUUUCUCAGGGACGAAGCAAGUGACGGUACCUGAGGAAUAAGCCACGGCUAACUACGUGCCAGCAGCCGCGGUAAUACGUAGGUGGCAAGCGUUGUCCGGAUGUACUGGUUGUAAAGGGCGUGCAGGCGGGAAGACAAGUCAGAUGUGAAAUCCCGGGGAUCAACCGCGGAAGUGCAUUUGAAACUGUUUUUCUUGAGUACCGGAGAGGUCAUCGAAAUUCGUUGUGUAGCGGUGAAAUGCGGAGAUAUAAGGAAGAACACCAGUGGCGAAGGCGGAUGACUGGACGGCAACUGACGGUGAGGCGCGAAAGCGUGGGGAGCAAACAGGAUUAGAUACCCGGGUAGUC